rnacentral:rRNA from 1 species
AUGAAUCCGGGAGGGCAGGCUCCGCUGGGUCAGACGGAUCCGGUCGGGCAGGCUGCGCUGGAGCAGAUGGAUCCGGUUGGGCAGCAGUGGGCGCCGAGAGGCCUGGCCGUACAAGCGGCUCCCGUACCGGCUCCCGGGUACGGGAACGGGCAGGCGGCGCCGGCGCCGGCGGACGGCUCUGGGGUGCCGGAUGGCCAGCCGAUGAGAUCCGUCGACAAGGUUCUGUCUCAUACUACUGCAACGAAUCCUUCUCCGGCUAAGGGUGCUUCAGCCCGCCGCAGAAGAAAUAGAAAAUCAGGUCCUACAUCGGCGACUAUUCCGGCCCCUCCCCCCUUGACGACCGCUCAAGUUCCCUGGAGCUUUCCCCGUGAACCAGCUUCAGCGGCUCAGGUUCUGAGUAAUCUAAAUGCUAGUCCCACUCCCACCGUACCCUUCAAAGCUGCCCCGACAAUGAUAUACAAGCCAUCAAAGAUCAGGAGGUCUCUUCAUCAGCAGUCAUCAAUCGUAGCUGCAUCUUCGGAAAACAAGAUCCUUCCUGCCAUUCGAGUCCGCAUGACUGAACAGCUUCGGGAAUCGAACCUGCAGCAUAUGUUCUCAGAUGGACACAUGUUCCGUGUGCAACAUAAUUGUGCCUAUUUCGAGUUUCCAACCCUGGAAAAAGCACAAGCGGCUGCUGACAGAGCUAAUAGGGGUGAAAUAUCAUUUGAAAUAAAGGUUGAUGUGGAUAGAUCAUCUGAUACACCAGACAGGUUACAUCAAGCUUUGAUGAGGGAAAAUGCUUCAACAGGAAGCCAGAUCAGAGAAGGUGCUUUAGCAGGAGGAAGCCAGUCCAGUGAAGUAGUUCCAGAUGGCCACGGCAGCAAACGGAAAUUUGAGGAUGAUGAUUUGGGGCAGCUCAUCAAGCGACAGAAGAAGGGAGAGAGUAGGAUAGGAAUGGACUUUUCUGCUUUUAAGUGGCAGCGAGUUGCCAAGUUUGCUGCUGUCAAAGGAAAUGAGUUUGUUGAGCUAUACAAGUUUGACCUUGCUUCAUCGUUUGGGUCAGUUUGCUCUUCGGCGUCCAUGUGCUCCAUCAAUCCCGUUGGCAGCUUGGUCUUCACUGGAAUUCUCGGUUACAUGGGCAAAGGUUUCACUGCAGGGCUGAGCUGGGGCGGCAAGAUCGAUUUGGACAGCCUAGUUAUUGCCCAUUACAUGUGUGCCAUCAUUCCUUAUCCAAGAGAAGCUGCCACAUUUGAGAAUAUCAGUAAGGAUGUGCAUGCAGUGAUUUACAGUUUGAUCGAGCUCUACAGAAUUGACAACAAGCUUCCACCGUAUUUCGAUGAUUUGGUUUCUUAUGCAGAGCGUAUCCCCAACAAUAUUGCUACAGACCCUGCAGUCCUUGAGGAAUUUCUGGUGGAACUGAUUAAUCAUGGCUCUUUCCAGCCGGAUCCUAACAUAGUCGCUGCCCUGCAAGAGUUCCAUAGCACCUUCAAAAACCUUGGUAUCGAUGAACAGGAAGAUUUUACUGAGGAGGCAGAGGCUGCAACUCUUGUCUUGCCAGCAAAUUGGCCAAAUACAGUUCAAACUGACAGACUACUUAGCUUGAUCUUCAGUCGCAGCCAUGCUCUCCUGAGAACUUUUGCUUCUGAAGUAGCGUUCCAUAGACAUUUUACCGUGCACGUCAUUGAUAUCAUUGUAACUCCGCAAGAGCUGCAGUGCGUCGUCUCCAAGCCACUUCAGCUUUUCCCAACGCCUAUGGAUCUACUGCAUUGGAUCUUCCACUUGUUUUUGAAAUGA